GAGUGAAAUGAUGCUUUACCAUCUUUCGGGGCUUACCCUAUAAUGGGGAUAACCUUUGUUCACACUGAUCACUC
rnacentral:snoRNA from 1 species